rnacentral:misc_RNA from 1 species
UUAAGUUCAGCGGGUAUCCCUACCUGAUCUGAGAUCAGACAUUCAAGAAGCCGUCCUCCCCAAGGAGAGACAUCUGUGAGCUCCAGCGAACCUCCAUUGCUGAAGGUUAAUGGUGGAAAACCACAAGCGUAGAUAGUUAUCACACCUGUGACGCCACCAAACACUGGGAAGCUGAUCCAUUUGAGAGGAGCCGACGCUAG